rnacentral:lncRNA from 1 species
CCAGGGCUUCGUUUCCAACUUUCCAUGGCGCGGGCGAAACGACGAACAGUCACAAGAUCUCCGUCUAUCCGAUCUAGUGAUAACCAGUAAGGGCCUCUCAGUCUAAAUUUACUGAUCUUAUUCUCAAUUGUUAGUACUCUGACGGACUUGUGAUGCAUUUUUCAUUUUUCAUCACCGUGUACUAAUUAUUCUGUAUAGAGUACUUGUCAUCCUAAAUGUACUAAUCGGUAUACUCGUAAAAUAGCUAUUGUCUACUUGUAAAUUAGUACUAAACUAAUGAUCAGUUCAUGAGAAUCAUGACUAGUCACCGUGGCUGGCUCCCUGUAGCCCUUUUUGCCGGCCAAGGAAAUUAGUACUAAACUACUGCUGUGGCCUGUGGCUGUACUUGUCAUCCUAAAUGUAAUAAUUUAUUAUGUGUCAUGUAUAGAUCAAUGGCUUCCAGAUGGAGCAGAAGGCUCGGCUGUGGCUGCUGCCAGCAAUGGAAAUUCGGCUCUUUCAGCAUCUCUGCAUGGUACUCCAACACCUGAAGUUGUUCCGACACUUGCAAAUAACUUGCCAUUUGCGCUUUAAUGUUGGUUCUUUCUUCAUCAGAUGGUUGGAAUUCUACUCUCUUUGCUACAUUUCAGAAUGUUCUUGAUGAUGAAGAAGAAGAGAUGGUAAAUUACUAAAAUGCUAUGAUCUUAAAUUUUAGGAUAUUGCAACAUCAUAAUUUACUCAUAUUUUUCUCAUUUGGUUGAUGCGAAGGAUAAGUCUACUUCAAUCAUCAUUCAGGAGUGAAGAUGCAGUUGAUGUUUGUGUUGGAUGGUGGCUUCUACCUAUUUUAUGCGAUGGCUGCUAGCUUCUGCUUGUGUUGGGUGAUGGCUGAUAGUUGUUGGAUGGUGGCAUGGUGCCAACUAUUGUAUCAAUUUUUAUUUUGUUACAUGACUUGUACUCAGUUGAGUUAUUUGCCAACUAGCUUAUGUUUGUAUCGGAUGAUGGCUGUGUUGCGUAACGUAGCAUAAAUUUAAAAAAAUUCCUACGCAUAUUCAGAUCUUUCUAUGAAGAGACCAGUAACGAGAGAGGGGUGAGUGCAUC